AGAGAGAGAGAGAAAAAARACGACAAGGUGUUCUGAAUUACAUAAGCAGAAGCAGAACUGCUCGGUUGAAGAGGRAGAGGAAGAUGGAAGCAAUCUGUCACUGGGCAAAAAUUUAAGUCAUGCCUAUUUUAAGCCUCUUGGUUUUUUGGAGUUCUUGCAGCAAAGUUCGUCCAGACUGGUCUGAUGGAUGUUAAGAAUAAGACACAGUAUUUUUCCCAUAACAAAGUAAAAGCUGUUAGCAUGUACACAUCAAAGCAAUCAAAAAUAUGUUUUUUAAAGUUGAUGAUUACAACUGUAUCUGUGAAGAUAAAAAAAAUCUAUCUCCGCAUUUUCAUUGCUUUCAGCGGCACUGUCUGAUAAUCAGCACUCUAUUGAACAUUCAAAACAUUUAAUAGACACUUUUCUCAGCUGAGCAUGAAAAAGACUAAAAUGCUUUUAUUUUAGUAAUAAAACAUCAAAUAAUAAAAGUCAUUUUWUGUUCAUUGUUUGUCUGAAACUUGUAAAAUAAAUCAUCAGAACAUGAAAAAUAAAGAUUAGUACUCAACUUUUUCCCUCCACACCUUUUGUUCCUUAUUCUACUCUAAUUCUCACCCUUCUACAUUAAAUGAAAUUUUCUUCAGAAAGAGAGAGAAAAAAACAGUUUACCUGCAAAAUAAGUUCAGAUGCAAAAGAAAGAAACAACACAUACAAGAGUAUUGAACCAACCUGGAUUAACCAACAAUCAAGCAACUAACCAACAACUUUCARUUUUUUGUAGUUAUUAGAAUUGGAGGUUUAUUACUUGGAAUGCUGCAACAUUUAUUGCCCGAAGAGCAUAAUUAGUAAGCAAUGCCGAUUCAGGAGCUGAAAAAUUCUCUUUCUGUUGAAGUCAUAAAUCAUGGCAGAAAUAAUGUUUUAAUCUAUGUGURGCUUAAUGAAUAGUUCUUAAAACAACAAAAUGCAAACCAAAAUCCUAAUGAAGAGUUUCAGUUUAAUCUGAGCAAAAACCCAAAGUCCAUUCACAAUUUAUUUAAUGUGGAACUGGAGUUGUCAGGAUUCCAAUCUCUUCCAGGCUUUUCCCAUCUCCUUCUUGUGUUUCAGGCUUUUCUUCCACCGUUUCAAAGCUGAUUGCUGCAGCUGCAGCACCCGGCUGUGACUGAUCUGGGCUGACUAGCUCGACUACAUGAGGCUGAGCUGAACCACUAUCGAUGGAACUUGAUUCCUCKGUGUGUCCUGCCUUCAUCUUUCAAAUUCAGUUUCUGGAAUACCAUCCUCUGAAUGAUCCUCUCAUGAACUGCCUUAGCAAACACUCUGCUAGCCUGUUUGGUCUGCCUGCCUGCUUGAUUACACUUACCUUACCUGGACUCCUGCCUACCUUGAACCUAAUUAAACACAUUUUUAAACACAUAGAGAACUAGUUGACAGUUUGAGAUUGUUUCCAAGUCUGUAAACAAGUCAACAAUGCUAUUUGUGUCUUUCCUCUGGAUUUCAUUCUCUCUAAUUAAACGGCUGAACCAAGAUUUGGAAGCUGCUCUAAGAUGUGCCACUUCUACAAAUCCCAUCACCUGGAGUUCUUACCUACCGUUUUGCACACAUCCUGACCUCUACCUUCCAAAAACGAACUCCCUCCAAAGCCUCUGUCGGAUACCAACCCCCUUUGUUCCCGAUCCAGGAAACCACAAAGUGGUAAAGUGUUCAGUGGGAGUGGGUCCAGCCUUUCCCUUGUGGUGUUUCAGCUUUUCUUCCACCAGAAGCGAGGCUGUUAGCCGAAGCUGCAGCUCUUCACAUUGUCACCGUGUUUUGAAGCAGCAUGCACUUGUGAGUUAUUUUUAUUCCCCGAACCAUGUAUAACAAAAGGAUUUAGUGUUARAGACUGAAUAAUGCAUUCAAAUGCACUCAUUUCACAUUUAUGCAAGUGUUGCUUUAGAAACUGACACAAAUAAACUUGCUAAUUAGUUUUCAUGAAAAUGUUAAAUAAAAGCUAAACAUAGCAGACAAAACRCAUUUGGUGUUUUCACACUGAGUUACAUCUUGUUAUGAAAAUUAAAUCUGCUUAUCAAUUUUGCUCAAAGCAAAACAAUGUAACAUUAGCAAAUUACUGUAGGUAAAUGUCAAAUAUAGAUUUUCAGUUCUUGUCAGAAAUCCCAACAAAGGGGACAUUAAAAAAGAUUCAAGCUUCAAGCCCCUCUGUUAGAUAAUUACAACAGAUCUUAUAGAAAAUAUUACUUUGUUCGCUCUGAUGGCCUAGAAAUCAUUUCAGUGGAACAAAAAUACUAGUUACACGUUUUACUGACUCAGUUAAACAAUUGUCUCAUUUUCUAAACCUUGAGCAGGUUUUCUCAGUUUUGUCAUUUUGUGUUUGCCCUUUUAUUUUUCUGGGGUUUGUWGCAGCCAAAUAAUUUAUACUUCAGCCUGUGUCUUGGGGAAAUUAAGCCUCCACAAGGUUGAUAAUAAAAGGUUUCGAAAUGAGGAAAAAGCUGAUUUUGACUUAAUUUAUGUCUUCUCUCUUUCUGUAUUUGCUGUUUCAUCUGUAUACCACGGAAGAUAAUUCACCCUCUUCAAACCCAACAGUCAGGUUCACUUGGAGAAUUGGAUUUGAUCUUUUUUCAAAUGAUGAAGCUCUAUUGUAAAUAUACAAUGACAAUUCUCUUUACUCAGUCAGGCCUUCUGUUAAAAACAGAAGUUCAAUGGGUUGGUUAAUUAAAGGUUCAAAAUGUAAUCAUAGUUAGUAAAAAAAAACAAUGCAUUCUAAAGUUGUUGUGCAUCAAAAUGUAAUAUGAUGUUGAAUUUUGGUUGAUUCCAAAGGUUAAUCAGUUGUAGAUGUACAUUAAUUUGUUUUUUCUUAGUUUGUCCAAUGGUUCAUGUGACAUUUUAAUAAUAAAAAGUAGAUGCAAACAAUUCAAAGAAAACGUUUACUCAUUUAGCUGUGGCAGCCAUCUUAAACAGGGUUGACUCCAAUAGUUAAAUCAGUUAUAAAUGUAUAGCCAGUGAUUACUUGGGAGUUUCAUUAAAACCCAUCAAGUGRUUCAUGAGAUAUUUUGAUAACAAACAAGGAGAAUUAACUUCACAUCACACACAUAAAGAAAUAACUAUCAUGGAAUAAGUAAUCUACUGGUGUGAAACAUAUUAGUAACGUGGGAAUGUAAAAAACUGUAAAUAACACUAAAAAGGCACAAUUAAAAAGCAGCAACUUGUUAUCUUAUCUUCCAGCUUUCCAGUUUAGAACCACACAAAGAAAAGGGCUGUUUCCUCAUAGUGAUUCUGUAUUUUUGGGCUAAUUUUUGUUACACUUUGAAGAGCCAGUGAGCAGCAGAUAAAACUGUAUUUUAAAACUGACACAUAAUAGAGCUGAAAUGCUAAACACAGCUUUAAACAUGACUGCAGUUAAAAAUAAUAUGCAUACUGUAAGGGAAAUGGGAAGUGUUGUGUGUCACGAAGAAUGAUAAAUUACCUUUAGACUCCACUCAACACACACAAACACACUUCCCACCCCUAUUACUCCAUUCGGCAGAAGAACAUCAGAGGGUGCUGCACUCUGUUUUAGCUUUUGUCUAAAGUUAAUAUGAAAAAUCUGCUAAAUCCCCUCUAGAAAUAUGUACUUAUAUACAGUAAAUCUUUAUGUUGAACUUACAUUUUUCACAGUGAAAACAUUGUGAAUUUAAAUAAUCUUUAGCAAUAGAAAAUAU